rnacentral:lncRNA from 1 species
AUGGCUGUCGAUAGCUUUCUCCUUAUCUCCAGCCUCCUUCUGGUGGCUGGGGUGACUCUGCUCACCACUUCCUGGCGCCAGCAGGUUUCUGACCGGUGCCGGCAAUGGUGGGGAUGGUGUCAGCAAGUGUUAGCACUGAUGUCAGGUGCUGAGAGUCAGGCAGGCAGGCACAGGAGCCCCCUGUGCAGGCCACGUGGCUCCUGGCAGCAAGGGUCACGAAAGCAGGGCAGUACCAUCGUGCCCCAUCUGAUCCAGCCAGGAACGACCCAGCCUUGGUUGCAGCCCAGUCUGUGCCCUUCUCUUCACAUGGGCUCUGACACUGGUACCAUGAGCUCCAUGGGGAAACCCGGCAGGCCUCCCAGACUGGACCAGCACCUGCAGGUUCUGGUGGCACAUGGAACCCCCAGGAGUCUCCAUCAGCGUUCAAGGCCACGCAGUGGAGUUAAAGACCUGCCACCUGAGAUCUCCAACUACGCAAAGCCACCAGUGAAGGGGAUGAUCUUUCAGGAGGGCCUCAUUCAAACAGAAGAGAGAAAACGCUGGUGGGAAUACAAGACCAAGAGGCGUGUUUGGCCUAUGCGCCCCCCCGUGCUUCCCAAAGGGCACAAGGAAGCAGGAGCAGCAGCAAGACCAUCCCGGGGACCAGCCUUGAGCCUGGAGAAAAAAGCGGGCACCAAAACUGAAACCUGCCAGCCCUUCAACUCUGGCUUCAGUGACCAGAGAAGCUCAGAGAAAUCGGACAGGCUCGCUAUGGAAAGGCCGUACCGGCAGCUCUUGGUGUCCCUGAAACGUCCCAAGACUAACAAUGAUGGUCAACAACAAGUCAGGCAGCAGAACUGAAGAGCAACCUCCUGGCACCUCCUCCUGCACACUGCCACCAGUGGAGGAGUCAAGGGUGCAUGAGUACAUCCUAUAAAACAGAGGAGGGGACAUGCUGGUGGAAGAGCAAGGCCAAGAGGCCUUCUGAGCAAUGUAUUGCCUCCCCAGCACUUUUCAGAUUCUAGAUGGAAGCAGGAGCAGCUGCAGGACCAGCACCAGGGCCAGCAUCAAGCCUGCACAAUGGGAGACAGCAGAGCAGAAACCUGCCAGCACCUCAAUGCUGCUGUCGUUUUUAUGGAUCAUUGUUGACGUACCAAGAGAGAACUGAAUCUCUGCCCUAAAAUCAUCAUUUUUAUCAUACUAUUUCAGUUUGAGGUCUUUCAAAUUUCUGAAAAGAUAGUUUAAUAAAAGUCACGCUAGUCUUCA